UACGUAGGGGCCUAGCGUUGUCCGGAUUUAUUGGGCGUAAAGAGCGUGUAGGCGGCUCGAUAAGUCUGCUGUGAAAGUCCAGGGCUCAACCCUGGAAGGCCGGUGGAAACUGUCGGGCUAGAGUCCGGAAGAGGCGAGUGGAAUUCCCGGUGUAGCGGUGAAAUGCGCAGAUAUCGGGAGGUACACCAAUGGCGAAGGCAGCUCGCUGGGACGGUACUGACGCUGAGACGCGAAAGCGUGGGGAGCAAACAGG
rnacentral:rRNA from 1 species